GAUACCCUACUAUGCCUAGCCUUAAACUUUGAUAGUACCAACUACUAUCCGCCAGAGAAUUACGAGCGAAAAGCUUAAAACUCAAAAGACUUGACGGUGCCCCAAACCAACCUAGAGGAGCCUGUCCUAUAAUCGAUGACCCACGCUUCACCUCACCUGCCCUCGCAUUAAUCAGCCAGCCUAUAUACCGCCGCCUUCCCGCCUACCUUGUAAAAGUAGCACAGCAAGCAAAAUAGCUCUUUCGCUAGAACGUCAGGUCAAGGUGUAGCUAAUGAGCAGGAGAGAGAUGGGCUACAUUCUCUAUUGAUAUAGACCAUAACCACCGGUAUUAUGAAAACAUACCUCAAAGGAGGAUUUAGUAGUAAUUUAGGCAAGAAUUCCUAAAUGAAUCCUGCCCUGGGGCGCGUACACACCGCCGGUCCACCCUCAAA
rnacentral:rRNA from 1 species